rnacentral:snRNA from 1 species
GUGCUCACCUUGGCAGCACAUAUAAUGAAUUGGAAUGAGACAGAGAAAAUUAGCAUGGACCCUGUGCAAGGAUGACACGCAAAUUCGUGAAGCAUUCCUUAUUUUU